rnacentral:lncRNA from 1 species
AUAGAUUUAAUAGAAAGAAAAAAUGUAUAUUUCUGAUGUAAACGAUCGAUUCAAUAUUACGUUAUGCAGUAGAGAAAAGAUGUUUCUAGAUGCAUAGGAAACUCAUUGCGCAUGCGUAUUUUUCAUUGCGAGACCCUGACAACUACGUAGUAGCCAGUUUACUCCUGCUCAAUUUUAUGUUUACGCUGCAAAUAAUCUUGUUUUUUAUUUCCUUUAAAUUUAGGAUAAUAUAACAUCAUUAUAGGCAUAAAAAAGUUAAAUUACUUAUCAAAUAUAAUCAAAAAAGUGAUUUGAUGCUUCGUAAUCAGAUAUGAAGGCAAAUAUUAAAUGAAUAAUCACAGUAAUAGUAUCGAACUAUUUGCAGCUUUUUGCUUAAGAAUACAGAGGGAAGUCUUUUUUAGUCUAUAAAAGUGCCAGGGUUGCUGUUUGGAUUAAUAAGAGUUGUUUACUUCAUGUCACUUUGUAUGGAACGAGUAUUAUUCCUUAGCGACUGAUUUGUGUCUGUCGCAUCGGAUUUCUACUUGUGUUCUUGCUAAAAUGUUUACACCUUAAUAGAUAUGCUGUUUACAAUUUCUAAUGCACCCGAUUGUGAAAUAUGCAGUGCGCACUUACGUCGCUUUGGUUCAAUGUUUGUUAUGGUGAACUAGUAUCGUUUGUAAAAUUUUUAUUCUUUUUUUUGCUACGAUAAUAGAAUGCACAAUUACUUACAAUGAAUAAUAUUUACAGAUUAAACUAGGUUAUGAUUUCUUGAAAUUUGGUUGUAUUACGAAGUAUAAUAGCUUAGAAAUGUGGAUCCCCCUCCCUCCUAUGCAAAUGGAUGGAAAUGCCAAAAACUUUACAAUGAAUUGGUUUGAUGAAAUAUAUUUAAAUUUUUGUUUAAUCAAUUUUAUCAAUAUAUUCUUAGAAACACGUAUUUUUUUAAAAAAAAUUUGCACUCUUGUUUAGGUGUAAGACUGAUAUUUUAAGUGGGCGUUAUUGUGGAUCAAUGCUGAUAAAUAUGAUCAGAGUAACACCAACACCAGCGCUGUAUUGAUUUGAAUUUUCCUUUAUAAGAGUCAAUUAUGGAGUGAAGGAGAAAAAAAUCGGUGAUAUUUUGUAAAUUAUGAUUUUUUCUAAAAUUGAGAUUCAGAUUUUAUUCCUUUUGUUAAACUAUAAAAAUGUGUGCUAUUUUGUAUACUGCUAUAAUUAAGAAAUGAUAUAUUUGUUAACUGCAGUAUAUUUAGGCUGCAAAAAUAUUCUUCCACAGUCUAUUUUCAGUUUUCGAUAAGUCUGGUUUUAUACUUCCCUGUCUGAAUAGAGAUAAAUGCCUGACGUAUGACCGUUAUCUGUCAUUUGGUUACCGUAAAACAGCUGAAUAAAAAGUAUGGAGGUGUUGCAUACUGAGCCACUGUCCCAUUUUUGUGUAUCAAUAUUUCCGUUGUUGGUAUGUAAUGCGUGAUAAAAUUUGUGGUUUUAUUCAUCAACUUUUCUGUUUACAUUUUCUUCGUUUGCUUAUUAUUACAUGGUAAUUUAAUUGUAGUUAUAGUAUUUUAACAUGCCUUAUUCUUUUGUGGACGUGUAUAUAUUUCAAUAACGUAGCGUUUUCAUUUCAUUUAAUUGUGGGUUAUAAGUUAUGUGUUUUUAAAAUGAGUGAUUUUUAAUGAUUUUUCAUUUUUAAACGUAUAUUUUGUUUUUCUGGGGUUUAUCCCCAUAAUCACUUUAAUUUUGCAGAAGUAACAAAUAUGAAGCACCAAUAAAGUAUGAAGUGCCGCUGAUAAUCUCUUUUAACUGAGUGUGAAAUGAAAUAGUUCCCUAUCCUCUGAAAUGUUGAAUAUCUCUUAUUCUUCCUUGUAUUUGAGAAAGGUUAAAAUAUUCUAUGGGUAUGUUUACUCUUCAAGAGAUAGAACUUAUGCUAUGAAAAAUAUGUACAAGAAUUAUCCAUAAUGCCAUCUGUUCUAAAAAUUGAAAUGCUUUUUGCUUCGUUUCCUUCUUGUAAAUAUUUUUACAGAAAAUUAAGAAAAUGCCUUUUCUAAGCAUGCAGUCUUUAAGCUCUGAAACAAAAAAUAAAGGAGAAAUUAAAGAUCAAGAUGUCAAGUAAACAGUAUUAUAAACUUUACUUUGAUAAAUUCCAUUCAUUUGCGACUUUUGGGAUGACUGUCCCUCUUGUUAAUAUUAUCAUUUUGCAGGUUAGUUGAAGUUGAGUCUAGUUAUACAACUGUUAAAAUGAAAAUAAUGGCAGUCUGGUUGUAACUACAACAUAGCUGUAGAUGCUGUUUUGAUUCUUAUGAAAUCUAACUGCUGAAAUAUUGGUCUACUGGAACGAUAUUUAAUUUCAAAUGUCUAUCGGCAAGGAAUUUGCUAUGGAAAUGUGGUUACUAAGGAGUAUUUAGCAUAUUUUAUUCAAUUUUUAGUUUCUUGUGUUAAGAUUUAAAACUGAUUGUUAUAAAUUUUUAUUUAGGUGUUCGUGGUAAUUUUAAAAACCGCUCGCAAACAUAACUAAUGUUGAAGGAUAUGUUACAAGAAUUAAGUUUGAAUCUUAAUUGCUGGAUUGUGGUGGGGGAGAAAGAAAUUUAAAGGACUCAUCAUGUGGUAUACAUUACAUGUAAAUUAUAGUAAAAUUUUGUUUUUUAAUGUAAUAAGUUUCUUUGGCAUAGUUUAAAAAUAUUAGGUGCAUCAUUUGCCAAUCUUUUUAUUAAAAUGUUUCUAUUUAAUAUGCAAUUAAAUAUUUAUAAUCUAGCAUUUAACUGAUGUUUGUGCUGACAGCUAUCAGAGAUACUUGGCUUGUUUAGCUAUCUCUCAAUUACAUAUAGUUAAUACAUAAGUUUUCUUCAUAUUGCAUUAUUAUGAAAUGUUUAUUAAGCUUUGUACUGAUAUCUACUCUUUCUAAUAAAUAAGUGAACCAUUUAAAAUUUUCUAGAGAUACUAUUAGUAUCUACUACAUUAAUUGAAUUAACCAAUGUCGAUAUGUUGUGUUAGCUAAAUUAUUUGCAGGCAUCUUGCGUCUGAAUGCAGUCCUUGUUUGCUUCCAUAUCCCCUUACUUGAUGUGCCUCAAAAGUUCUAACUGUACUGUCCGAGUGCGAACAAGAGGUACCUUCGUCAUGUCCUGCAGUUAAAUCUCACUGUUAUCCAUGAUUUGAGUCCUUCGGAAAGGAGCAUCUACUUCUGAUAGUUGGGGUUUUGCUGAUAUGGAGUAUCUGCUUUCUUUUACCCUUUAUAUCAUAUAAAUUUUAUUAAACCUUAGUUACCAGCAAUUUUCCCCUUCCUUUAGGUUACAAUGAAAAUUGCUUUAGAGAUAAAUGAAAUUAAGUCUUAUGAUUCUUAUUGAUAAUGCUGGAAACAGGAAUAGGAGAAUGAAAACUCAUCAAGAAAUUUGACCUGUGGUAUAUUUUUAAAAUUUUUGAUCAUGUUUAUGUCUUAGGUUAAUAUUGAUUUGAUAUGUUAAAUGAUUUAGGAUCUUGUGCUGCAUAAGCUGAUCCUGUUUUAUCCUUGCUCAUCUUUAAUAGUUGAUUAAAAUUGGUCUAUUAAACUAUUUUGAUUAAUUUCAGUUUGAGAUUUUUGUGUUAACUGUUUUACUUUGUCCAUAAUUUUUCAUUAAAAGAAAACUGGUACAAUUUUUGUUAUCUAACCCCUUGUCGAUAUGCUCUUUUGUGAAGAAUAUUUUCAGGCUUUCCUCCUUGAUCCUUGAUUACAAGAGUAAACUUAAUUGCGUUCGUAUCAUUUCAAUUUCUUGAGUGGUAGAAGAGGAUAUCUUUUCUCGCUUUAUAAGACGUUACUACAUCAGAAGUUUCCUAUUAAGACUGACCUAGGCUAAAAAUCAGUAUAAAUUUUCUUAUUUUCCUUUCAAGUUUUUUAAUUCUUUCAAUGAGAGAUUCAAAAAUUUUUCCUUUUUAGGUUAUUUAAGAAACCAUAAAUCAUUAACAUACCAGGUGUUUAUUUGGAAAAUUAAGUUUAUUGUCAGAUCAUAAAUUCAUCAACCUUAUAUAGUUCAUGGAGUAGCUGAGAGAAAAAGGCUGAAAGAAAGGUUCUCAAGUGGUAUAUCAGUUUAAAAUUCUGAUUUUUUUCUUUAGAAAAAUACUGUACAUUUAUGCUUUUAACUUGAAAACUAAGAAAGAUCUUAAGCUAGAGUAGCUGAUCUUUAAAUAAAAUUCAUGUCAUUAAAAUUUUUUAAUACAUUGCUUUUUAAUCUAAGAAAUAAAAAAUUUAGCAAUUAUUAAUAAUGCUACUUGCAUUCCAUUUAUUUUUAACGUAUUAUGUUCCAAAGCUUUCUCUAAUACCUGAAUUUUUCCCUAGAAUUGUAUUGGCGUUAGAAAACAAAUGCUAUUUGCAGGGUUCUGUCAGCAGCCGCUUAUAAUCUGGGUAACUCUACAUUUGGGCCAGUUAUAUUGUAUCUUUCUCUGCCAGUUAUCCUUUAAUGAAUUGUCUCGUGAGCCAGCUGUCUUGUUGGAAAGUCCUCAAAGAAUACCCAAAAAAUCAACUUCAACUUAGUUCUGAGUGAUUGAUUUUAUCAACUUCGGCUUACGUCAACUCUAUCAAAGUGUCAGCAACUAAGUAUCAAAAAUUAACAUUUUUAAAACUCAAAUUCAGAAUUAAAUUUUGUAAAGUUAUUUUUAAUUAUCUGCAUAAUUUAGUCUAAAGUUUUGUUUUAUGCAUUUUAUCAAAUUAAUUAAAAAGACAUAACUUAUAAAAUUACCUGGCAGUUAUUCAUUCUCAAAAUAGUUUAAUGAAAUCCAUUCAAUUACAGUGAAUAUUCAUCCCCAAAGUUCAAGAAAAUCCGUAGCUCAUUUCUUUCUGGUUAGUGUUACAAGAUAUCUUUUCAUCAUUAUCCGUGAAGGUCCUACUUGGACUAUGUGCUAUUAAACUUCAUCCUUCCAUUUGUCGAAUCAUCCAUUUGUGUGUGACCCUCUUAACAGUUUUACUCGUCCGAAGUGCCUUAUGUCUUUAAAUUUGCUCGCCAACUUCAUGUUUAUCGUGAACUGAACUAUACGUUUGAAAACUUCAAUAUACAUAUUGGACUUCCGCAACUUUGUUACAAUUAAAAAUGGUUGUUAAAAUUAGAGUAUGAUUAAAAAUGACUACCAACGGUUUUGUUUACAUUAUCAUUGUGCAAGGAUUUAAAUGUAGUUAUACUGUGAUAUCCUAGUUACAAAUAACUAGCGUAAAUAAAUCUUGUAAAUAAGAUUAAUAAAAUCUGAUUUAUUUUAUUAA